rnacentral:tRNA from 1 species
GUGCCUGUAGCUCAAUUGGCUAGGGCGCCAGCCACAUACACUGGAGUUGGUGGGUUCAAAUCCAGCCUGGUCCA